CAUCAUUAUUAAUCAUAGGUUUACAAAGAUAUAAAGGUUGAUGUUACUGUCGGUUCCAGAGUCGCGGAUUCGGGUAUUAAGUCUGACGAUGUUGGAAGCCGUGGAAAUAAUGAUUUGAUGAAAGGAAAUGGAGAUCUUGAUGCAAAAGGAAUUAAUGGACAGAGCCAUGAAGAGAAAAGAUUGGUAACUUCUAAUGUUUGAUUUAUGCUUUUUUUGUGCAAGA